GGAGGGAAUUCGCCUCUGAGCAGGGUUAAACCCUAGUCAGUCGCAUAAGAUUUUAGAAGGAACUUGCGGGCUCACAGCCUACUAAUGGGAAAAGCAUAUUUUUAGAGCGCUUCCGCGCCGCCCACGGCUGUGGGCUGGGACUACAAGUCCCGGCCUGCGGGAAUCCAGGAGCGGGGGCGGGAGAGGGCUGUGGUGGGAAAGAGAGGCAUGCUGGGAACUGUAGUUGUGUCACCUCCGCGUUCACCGCAGUUCACAUUGGCUGGAGACAUUAAUGAGAAAUAUGUCUAAAAGAUAGGAAGCGGGAGAGACCUGGGUAAAUCUUCAACCUGGAUACUCAGAUAGACGAAUUUCCAGCCCCCUUUCCUGAUGGAUACCAUGAACUCACUAUGCCAAGGAUCCUGUUCUCAGAGCGGUAAGGGAAGAGCACAUUUUGCAAAGUAUCGAAUUACCCAGUUACACCUAUUCACUUUUGCUAGAAGUCUACACUGAAAUUUGAUGAGAAUGAUGAAGAGGACGACUGCCUACUCCUACGAUGCACCACAGAAAGAAAUAGUACCGGGAAACAAAAACAGAAACAGUCAAGAAUGGAGAAUGUCUAAUGCCGGCUCUGUUUCUACCCCAGCAUUCUCCGUGAAGUGCAUAGUUUCCCUUGAUUAUAAAAUAGAGAUAAAUUCUAAAUGUGACAUUACAUAAAAAAGCAUUUA